rnacentral:rRNA from 1 species
AACGAACGCUGGCGCAUGCCUAACACAUGCCAGUCGAACGAGACCUUCGGGUCUAGUGGCGCACGGGUGCGUAACGCGUGGGAACCUGCCCUUAGGUUCGGAAUAACUCCCCGAAAGGGGUGCUAAUACCGGAUAAUGUCUUCGGACCAAAGAUUUAUCGCCUUUGGAUGGGCCCGCGUUGGAUUAGCUAAUUGGUAGGGUAAAAGCCUACCAAGGCGACGAUCCAUAGCUGGUCUGAGAGGAUGAUCAGCCACACUGGGACUGAGACACGGCCCAGACUCCUACGGGAGGCAGCAGUGGGGAAUAUUGGACAAGGGGCGAAAGCCUGAUCCAGCAAUGCCGCGUGAGUGAUGAAGGCCUUAGGGUUGUAAAGCUCUUUUACCCGGGAUGAUAAUGACAGUACCGGGAGAAUAAGCUCCGGCUAACUCCGUG